rnacentral:rRNA from 1 species
GACGAACGCUGGCGGCGUGCUUAACACAUGCAAGUCGAACGGAAAGGCCUUGCUUUUGUGGGGUGCUCGAGUGGCGAACGGGUGAGUAACACGUGAGUAACCUGCCCUUGACUUUGGGAUAACUUCAGGAAACUGGGGCUAAUACCGGAUAGGAGCUCCUGCUGCAUGGUGGGGGUUGGAAAGUUUCGGCGGGUGGGGAUGGACUCGCGGCUUAUCAGCUUGUUGGUGGGGUAGUGGCUUACCAAGGCUUUGACGGGUAGCCGGCCUGAGAGGGUGACCGGCCACAUUGGGACUGAGAUACGGCCCAGACUCCUACGGGAGGCAGCAGUGGGGAAUAUUGCACAAUGGGCGGAAGCCUGAUGCAGCAACGCCGCGUGCGGGAUGACGGCCUUCGGGUUGUAAACCGCUUUCGCCUGCGACGAAGCGUGAGUGACGGUAAUGGGUAAAGAAGCACCGGCUAACUACGUG